rnacentral:rRNA from 1 species
CACGUAGGGCGCAAGCGUUGUCCGGAAUUAUUGGGCGUAAAGAGCUCGUAGGCGGUCUGUUGCGUCCGCUGUGAAAACUCGGGGCUUAACCCCGAGCCUGCAGUGGAUACGGGCAGACUAGAGGUAGGUAGGGGAGAAUGGAAUUCCCGGUGUAGCGGUGAAAUGCGCAGAUAUCGGGAGGAACACCGGUGGCGAAGGCGGGUCUCUGGGCCGAUACUGACGCUGACAGCGCGAAAGCCAGGGGAGCAAACGGG